CUGACCUUAGUUCAGUUGGUAGAGCAUAGGACAAUAGUAGGGGGAAAAACCUUGAUAUCCAUCCUUAGGUCACUGGUUCGAAUCCUGCAGGUCAGA
rfam:Picea glauca, whole genome shotgun sequence.